rnacentral:lncRNA from 1 species
CAGAGAGAGACCAAGAUACUGAAGUAAAGAACUUACUUUCUUGUCAUCCAGAGAUAACCAGAUCAUAAAGGGUAAAGGAGGUUGGGCAAGCUCCUGGAGUUUUCCAUGGUGAUUUUGAGACAGUAGCAAAGUCUUCUUAGGAGAAGAAAAGUGGACAUAAAUUAUUCGACAGACAAUCUGGGUUCCUUCAGAGCUCUCCGGCAGCCUGACCACAUCAUCUAGAUGUCUGGCUUUUGGUACCCACGUAAAAAGAAACUUCAUUAUUUGAAUUAAAAUAUAUCUGUAUUAUCCACCCCACCACCUCCCAACUUUUCCCACAUCCUCUCCUCCUCAAAUUCAAGGCCUUUAAUUACUCUUUAAUUACUACUGUUUCAUGCAUAUGCAAAUAAAUACGUAAAUGUCA